GCCGACCGAGGCUGUUGUGUUUCCCGCUUGUGGUCUCGUCACUUCCGGAAGGGGCAGUGCUGAAAAAAGCCACGCUCAACUGAGGCUUGUCCAUGAGACAGCAAGAGGACCCUUCUCACCAAAUCCCACAAGUUUUUCCACUCAGGUUUAUUUCCCAUAUGUUUGUACAUCAGGCUAUCCAGUCUGGACUGAGGAUCAUCGGUCACAAACUCCUCAUCUGCUCUGCAGUGCUGUGUUAAGAAAUUCAGUCUGAGAUGACAGCGAGAAGUUGUGAAAAGUGCUGUGUUAAGAAAUUCAGUCCUUCCUAAUUCCACUGAGGCUGAGAUGACAGCGAAGUUGUGGCUGCAGGACAUCAUGGAUGAGCUGCGCAAGUAUCGUAAAAGUAGCCUAAGCUAAGGUGCCAAAAAAUUAUGACUUCUUAC